ACGGCCGCAAGGCUAAAACUCAAAGAAAUUGACGGGGGCCCGCACAAGCGGAGGAGCAUGUGGCUCAAUUCGAUGCAACGCGAAGAACCUUACCAGGGCUUGACAUGCAGCUGCACGUCCGGUGAAAGUCGGAUUCCUUCGAGGGUGCUGCACAGGUGUUGCAUGGCUGCCGUCAGUUCGUGCCGUGAGGUGUUGGGUUAAGUCCCGCAACGAACGCAACCCCUGUGUUUAGUUGCCACCGACGGUGAUGAGCCGUCGAGCACUCUAGACAGACUGCCCGUACAAGCGGGAGGAAGGUGGGGACGACGUCAAGUCAGUAUGACCCUUACGCCCUGGGCUGCACACGUGCUACAAUGGUCGGUACAAUAGGAAGCAAUACCGUGAGGUGGAGCAAAUCCCCAAAACCGGCCCCAGUUCGGAUUGGAGUCUGCAACUCGACUCCAUGAAGUCGGAUUCGCUAGUAACGGCGUAUCAGCUACGACGCCGUGAAUACGUUCCCGGGCCUUGUACACACCGCCCGUCACAUCAUGAAAGCCGUCUGCACCCGAAGUCGCUGA
rnacentral:rRNA from 1 species